UACAGAGGGGGCAAGCGUUGUUCGGAAUUACUGGGCGUAAAGGGCGCGUAGGCGGCCUUCUAAGUCGAACGUGAAAUCCCUGGGCUCAACCCAGGAACUGCGUCCGAUACUGGAAGGCUUGAAUCCGGGAGAGGGAUGCGGAAUUCCAGGUGUAGCGGUGAAAUGCGUAGAUAUCUGGAGGAACACCCGUGGCUAAGGCGGUUCUCUAGUACGGUACUGACGCUGAGACGCGAAAGCGUGGGGAGCGAACAGG
rnacentral:rRNA from 1 species